rnacentral:rRNA from 1 species
CAGCAGCCACGGUAAUACGUAGGUGGCAAGCGUUGUCCGGAAUUAUUGGGCGUAAAGCGCGCGUGGGCGGAUCGGUCAGUCUAUCUUAAAGGUUCGGGGCUUAACCCCGUGAUGGGAUGGAAACUGCCAAUCUAGAGUAUCGGAGAGGAAAGUGGAAUUCCUAGUGUAGCGGUGAAAUGCGUAGAUAUUAGGAAGAACACCAGUGGCGGAGGCGACUUUCUGGACGAAAACUGACGCUGAGGCGCGAAAGCCAGGGGAGCGAACGGGAUUAGAUACCCGAGUAGUCCCUGUCUCUUAUACA